rnacentral:rRNA from 1 species
CGGAGGUGCAAGCGUUAUCCGGAAUCAUUGGUUAAGGUCCGCAGGCGGAUUGUAAGUCAGUGGUGAAUCCGGCAGCUUAACUGUCGCACUGCCAUUGAUACUGCAGUCCUUGAAUUUGAUGGGAGUGGCGGAAUAUGUCAUGUAGCGGUGAAAUGCUUAGAUAUGACAUAGAACACCGAUAGCGAAGGCAGCUCACUAUAUCUGAAUUGACGCUCAUGGACGAAAGCGCGGGUAGCAAACAGGAUU